ACCUGGGAAUGGCAUUGGAAACUGGCAAGCUCGAGUUUGGCAGAGGGGGGUGGAAUUCCGCGUGUAGCAGUGAAAUGCGUAGAGAUGCGGAGGAACACCGAUGGCGAAGGCAGCCCCCUGGGCUAAGACUGACGCUCAGGCACGAAAGCGUGGGGAGCAAACAGGAUUAGAUACCCUGGUAGUCCACGCCCUAAACGAUGCUCACUAGGUGUUGGGGGAGCGAUUCCUUGGUACCGCAGCUAACGCGUGAAGUGAGCCGCCUGGGGAGUACGGCCGCAAGGUUAAAACUCAAAGGAAUUGACGGGGACCCGCACAAGCGGUGGAUGAUGUGGAUUAAUUCGAUGCAACGCGAACAACCUUACCUACCCUUGACAUGUCCGGAAGCCUGCCGAGAGGCGGGGGUGCUCG
rnacentral:rRNA from 1 species